AGCCAGCCUGUUGCGGAAUACAUUUUGAAGCCUGAAAGUUUUAAAAGCUCUAACUUCUUUUGACUCCGGCGAAAAAUGCUGAGCGUGCGCGCUUGUUUCAUUCUAUGCUUCUUAUUACGCAAUUUCCUUCGCAUCCAUCGUGCCUGCAAUUUUGAAAUUGGGCGCAAAGUCCUGGAUUUUCUGUGCCUGCUGCUAAAAAGCUACGGCAACUGUGCGGACAAGUUUAUAAAAAAAAUAGAGGAAAUAUUAUAGAGAUGGCUGCCAAUGCGUUCCAAAUGCCUGACACUGCUCUUGCAAAUGUGCGCGCAUCUUUAAUAGUUUCUUCUGAUAAAAUUUAUGUUUGUUUAGCAUUUUAUAAACCAAAUUGAUUCU